GUGGGGUUUUGAUUUAUGAUUUGUUUAGAUUUAAUUUUGAAUUAGAAUUAAUGCAAGAAUAUAAUUUCGAAUAAUAGGUACUGAAGAAUCUCCUAAAGGUUAAUCAAUCUGUUUAUUCAGUGGUCUAUAAAAAAUAAAUAAUGAAUCAUCUUUUCAAGAUAUUUCAUAUUUAUUUUGAAAGUAAAUAAUUAUUCUUAGAAUUAUACAUGA
rnacentral:lncRNA from 1 species